AGUGAACGCUGGCGGUAGGCCUAACACAUGCAAGUCGAACGGCAGCACAGGAGAGCUUGCUCUCUGGGUGGCGAGUGGCGGACGGGUGAGGAAUACAUCGGAAUCUACUCUGUCGUGGGGGAUAACGUAGGGAAACUUACGCUAAUACCGCAUACGACCUACGGGUGAAAGCAGGGGACCUUCGGGCCUUGCGCGAUUGAAUGAGCCGAUGUCGGAUUAGCUAGUUGGCGGGGUAAAGGCCCACCAAGGCGACGAUCCGUAGCUGGUCUGAGAGGAGGGUCAGCCAAACUGGACAUGAGACACGGUCCAGACUCCUACGGGAGGCAGCAGUGGGGAAUAUUGGACAAUGGGCGCAAGCCUGAUCCAGCCAUACCGCGUGGGUGAAGAAGGCCUUCGGGUUGUAAAGCCCUUUUGUUGGGAAAGAAAUCCAGCUGGCUAAUACCCGGUUGGGAUGACGGUACCCAAAGAAUAAGCACCGGCUAACUUCGUGCCAGCCGCCGCAGUAA
rnacentral:rRNA from 1 species